rnacentral:rRNA from 1 species
GACGAACGCUGGCGGCGUGCCUAAUACAUGCAAGUUGAGCGAUGAAGAUUGGUGCUUGCACCAAUUUGAAGAGCAGCGAACGGGUGAGUAACGCGUGGGGAAUCUGCCUUUGAGCGGGGGACAACAUUUGGAAACGAAUGCUAAUACCGCAUAACAACUUUAAACAUAAGUUUUAAGUUUGAAAGAUGCAAUUGCAUCACUCAAAGAUGAUCCCGCGUUGUAUUAGCUAGUUGGUGAGGUAAAGGCUCACCAAGGCGAUGAUACAUAGCCGACCUGAGAGGGUGAUCGGCCACAGUGGGACUGAGACACGGCCCAAACUCCUACGGGAGGCAGCAGUAGGGAAUCUUCGGAAAUGGACGAAAGUCUGACCGAGCAACGCCGCGUGAGUGAAGAAGGUUUUCGGAUCGUAAAACUCUGUUGGUAGAGAAGAACGUUGGUGAGAGUGGAAAGCUCAUCAAGUGACGGUAACUACCCAGAAAGGGACGGCUAACUACGUG